rnacentral:lncRNA from 1 species
AAAAGAAUCACCAAAAUAAAAAAUAGUAACAAUACUAUUGUCAAGGAUGCAAAGGAACUGUACCACUCAAUCACUGCUGUGAGAAUUUAAAGUGGUGCAGCCACUCUGGGAAACAGCUUGGCUGUUUUUUUUUAUGACUGAAUGUGCAACUACUAUAUGAUGCAGUAAUUUCAUUUUUGCACAUUUAUCCCGGAGAAAUGAAAACAUAUAUUCACACAAAACCUGUAUAUGAAUGCUAAUAAAAGUCAAUUGGCCAGGUGUGGUGGCUCAUGCCUGUAAUCCCAGCACUUUGGGAGGCUGAGGCAGUGGAUCACCUGAGGUCAGGAGUUUGAGACCAGCCUGGCCAACGUGGUGAAAACUCGUCUCUACUAAAAAUACAGCAAUUAGCUGGGUGUAAUAGUAGCCACCUGUAAUCCCAGCUACUGGGGAGGCUGAAGCAGAAGAACCUCUUGAACCCGGGAGGCAGAGGUUGCAGUGAGCUGAGAUCGUACCACUGCACUCCAGCCUGGGCGAUAGAGUGAGACUCUGUCUCAAAAAAUAAAAUAAAAUAAAUAAAAAGAUUAGAUAAUCUGCAAAGUUCCUGUGAGCGCUGUCAUUUUGUCACUCUGGUUUUUCAGAUUCUUCCCCUGGAGGCUGGAGUUUCCAGGAUGUCAAAAUUACCUCUGCUUGGGUGAGCUAUUUCAAGCAGCUGGGAUACCUGUGUCACUCCUGCUGUCUGCCAGUGACUGCCCAGGUGUCUGCUGGUUCCUCCCCAGGAGUAGGGAGGAACCAGGUGGGCUGGCUGGGAUGGGUGGAUAUUUAAAGACCAGGCCUUGGACGCUGCAGCACUUCUAUCUCUGCUUGAUGCCUGCUGCCACGUGGCUGGUCCUCCUCCUCCUGCUGUGGCUGAGCCUUGGGGUGAAGACAGGCAGCUGCUCCCAACCCCAGAACCUUUGCUGUCUUGGGACGGAUCACCGCUGCAAGAGGGGAAGUUGCUACUGUGAUGAAUUCUGCCAUGUGGCACCAGACUGCCACCCAGACCACAGUGUCCUCUGCAACCCUGGUAACUCACAUACAGGCCCGAUUCCACCUACAGCAAAGCUGGAUGCGAUGGCUGGCAGAGGCAAACCCUUUGCCUGCACUUCAGGCCAAAGCCGGGAUGUGGCCUAGAUGGUUCCUAAGGUCCCUGACAAUCCUGAGAUCUUGCAUCUUGUCUAUUUCAGGUCAAAGCUUCUCAGAUGACCAAGAUGGUGCUGCAGAUGGUGCUGAGGAUGGAGAACCCACCAAGCCCCGCUAGGAGCCACCUAGACUGGAUGCAGAGCAUGGUGAGCUCCCUGCAGGUUCUCUGAGAAGGGGUGGAUGGCAGCCUGCUCCUUGCCUUUGUGCCCUCCAGGCCCCAAAGUCAGGGAACCAAAAGAAGAAAGGGGCCGUAGCUAGGGCAGAGCUCCACUGCAAUGAUUGUUUUAGGGGUAGGAGCCAGGAUUGCCGUCUGUGGACACUGAAAUUUGAAUCUCAUAUACUUUUGUGACAAAACAUUCUUCCUCUUUUGUUCUUCUCCUACCAUCUAAAAAUGUAGAAAACAUUCUUAGCCUAUGAGUUGCACAAAAACAGGCAGUGGCCAGAUUUGGCCCAUAGACCAUAGUUUGCUGACUUCUGCCCUAAAUCAUCCUCCAUUUCUUUCCUUCUGUGUCCUUGUUACUGACAAAGCCACUUUCCCUAAAAUGGGGUCUUUCCCUGUUUGGUGCCAUGAAGCCAAUAUGCAAAACCGAAAGUGAGCCUCAAGCAGUGCAGGCUUUAUUUGGUGGCCAUGGAAUUGAGAAGUGAGAGCUUGGCUCACAAAUCAACUUUUCUGCUCGUGAGACCCAGGAAGUCACAGAUACAGGGCAUCUUUAGUGAAGGGGCUGAGCAUUAAAAGCAAGGGGAGGAGUGGCCAGGUGCAAUGGCUCACUCCCAUAAACCCAGAACUUUGGGAGGCCAAAAUGAGAGGAUUGCUGAGACCAGGAGUUCGAGACCAUCCUGGUCAACAUAGUGAUACACCCCCAUCUCUACAAAAAUAAAAAUGAAAAAAGCAA